rnacentral:rRNA from 16 species
GGUGGUGCAUGGCUGUCGUCAGCUCGUGCCGUAAGGUGUUGGGUUAAGUCUCGCAACGAGCGUAACCCUCGUGUUUAGUUGCCACUAUGAGUUUGGAACCCUGAACAGACCGUCGGUGUUAAGCCGGAGGAAGGAGAGGAUGAGGCCAAGUCAUCAUGCCCC